UACAGAGGGUGCAAGCGUUGUUCGGAAUUAUUGGGCGUAAAGCGCGUGUAGGCGGCUUUGUAAGUCGGGUGUGAAAGCCCUCAGCUUAACUGAGGAAGUGCGCCCGAAACUGCCGAGCUUGAGUGUCGGAGAGGAUGGCGGAAUUCCCCAAGUAGAGGUGAAAUUCGUAGAUAUGGGGAGGAACACCGGUGGCGAAGGCGGCCAUCUGGACGACAACUGACGCUGAGACGCGAAAGCGUGGGGAGCAAACAGG
rnacentral:misc_RNA from 1 species